rnacentral:misc_RNA from 1 species
GAUGAAGAACGCAGCGAAAUGCGAUAAGUAAUGUGAAUUGCAGAAUUCAGUGAAUCAUCGAAUCUUUGAACGCAUCUUGCGCUCCUUGGUAUUCUGAGGAGCAUGCCUGUUUGAGUGUCAUUAAAUUCUCAACUACACUGACUUUGAAUUGGUGUGGCUUGGAUUUGGGGGGAAAAUUGUUGUGGGCUUUUUGUAUAGUCUGCUCCCCUGAAAUUGAUUAGCGGUACCUUUGUGGAACUGUCUACAGGUGUGAUAAUUAUCUACAUCUUAGACAUCUGCUGGAAUGCUGCUCUAAACCUUACUUGUAUUGACAAUCUUGACCUCAAAUCAGGUAGGACUACCCGCUGAACUUAAGCAUAUCAAUAAGCGGAGGA